rnacentral:rRNA from 1 species
GACGUAGGGUCCAAGCGUUGUCCGGAUUUACUGGGCGUAAAGAGCGCGUAGGCGGUCUGUUAAGUGUAGAGUGAAAUCUCCAGGGCUCAACCCGGAAACUGCUCUGCAUACUGGCAGACUGGAGGGAUGCAGAGGUUUGUGGAAUUCCUGGUGUAGCGGUGAAAUGCGUUGAUAUCAGGAGGAACACCCAUGGCGAAGGCAGCAAACUGGGCAUCAUCUGACGCUGAGGCGCGAAAG